CAUUUAUUAGAACAAAACCAAUUGGCCUCGGCCAUACAUUGGUGAAUCUGAAUAACUACGCGGAUCGCACGGUCUCGCACCGGCGACGUAUCCUUCAAGUGUCUGCCUUAUCAACUUUCGAUGGUAGUUUACAUGACUACCAUGGUUGUAACGGGUAACGGAGAAUUAGGGUUCGACUCCGGAGAGGGAGCCUGAGAAACGGCUACCACAUCCAAGGAAGGCAGCAGGCGCGCAAAUUACCCACUCUCAGCACGAGGAGGUAGUGACGAAAAAUAACGAGACAGUUCUCUAUGAGGUCUGUCAUCGGAAUGGGUACAAUCUAAACCCUUUAACGAGGAUCUAUUGGAGGGCAAGUCUGGUGCCAGCAGCCGCGGUAAUUCCAGCUCCAAUAGCGUAUAUUAAAGUUGUUGCGGUUAAAAAGCUCGUAGUUGGAUCUGCGGUCUCGGAUGCCGGUCCCCCACUGGGAGUGAACUGGUACUCCAGGCCUACCUUGACGGUUUUCUCCUGCUGCUCUUCGCUGAGCGGCUUGAGUGGCUGUCGCAGUUACUUUGAUAAAAUUAGAGUGCUCAAAAGCAG
rnacentral:rRNA from 1 species